GAUGUGUCAAAUCCUGAUAAACAAGUUGAAACUAACCCACAUCUUUGGGAAAACAUUGCCGGUAAAGGGCACUUCAGAACUCUGUUCACUAAUUUAUGGUCAAGCAUUGCAGGACGAGGAGGGUUGAAGAGCCAUAUUGUGCAUUGUCAAGUGCUACAAGCUUGAGCAUUGUCCAUAGUAUAUACUCGCCCUUGAUGAGAACUAAGAAUUGGUUAACUUCUUCAACCUCAAGAACAAAAUCUUUUCCGUUAAAGCAGUUUUGACAUCCUCAACAUGGUCUAGUGCCAGUUUAAUGAGAACUAGGAAUUGGUUAACUUCUUCAACCUCAAGAACAAAAUCUUUUCCGUUAAAGCAGUUUUGACAUCCUCAACAUGGUCUAGUGCCAGUUUGUGAAUCAAAUAGUUGCAUAAUCCAUUUUCACUUCUUGAUGACCUUCUGCAACCUCUGCAGAUAACGCUCACCUUGGUAAUAUAUUGUAUAUGUCAUGUGGAAGUGUUUGGAUUGGACAUAGUUCGAUAUUGGCCUUGAAGUGGAGCGUUUCAGCAUCAACAGUUCAAGCAUGGAUUUCCUGGUAUUUUCAUACUUUGCCAUUUAUUCAUCAGCAGAUGUCUGUUCAAAUACAGAGCUAGGUUGCUAAUAACUUUCGGAGUAGAAAAACGAGGCUAUUUCGUCGCAUCAUAAAAGAUUAAAGAGAUCAAAUAGCUCUAUAUUUUGUGUAUCCAUUUAGUCUGUUGUUUUGCAUCAAUAGUAGAAAAACAUAGGUUGGUUACCGAAGGACAUAUAGGUAAAAUCUUUGCUUCUUACCUUCUUCCCUUGCUUUCUUUCAAGAU
rnacentral:lncRNA from 1 species